UUAUUACCUUCAUCCAUUGUAAUUGUGUUUUUCCUAAGGUCCUUUCCCUAAUGCUAUAUUGAAGUGUUUUCUACUCAUCUUUGAGUUGUCAGAAAAUUAUACUGCCUGUUUCCCAAUCUUGUUACUAUUACCUGUGCUUUCUAGUUAUGGCCUGGCAGCUGACUUCAUUCUAAGUAUUUCACCUGUGAACAGUCUGUGUAAUGAAUAUGACUACAUAGCCCUUUGAAUGCAGUUUCAGAUGCAAAUUGUAAAAGGAGCACUGAAUACCAUCCAGCCAAAGUCAAACAUAUUAAAUUCCACCAAUUGCAACAAGAGGAGUUUAAAAUCAAAAUGAAAGAAGAAAAAAAUAAAAAUUCCACAGAAACUGAGGAAUGUCAACAACUCAAGUGCAAAGAAUCCAGAAUGUAUACCGUUUGAAGACAAAAGACACGAAGAUCCAUCAGAAUAAUAUGCUGAGGAAGGUCAACAUUUUGUUUAUAGAUUAAUCUUCUGAGAUGAGAAGAUUAAUUAAGAAGAUGCUAGAACAGAAUUGAAAAAUUCUUUUAGGAUUUAGGGGUACACAUUUUAUCUCAAACCAAAAGCAUGUUAAUUUGACCCCAAUAUGUUGUGUGAAUACAGCAGACUUAGACUUUU